AGUCUCUACUGUUGCUGACAGCACACUGGAUGUUUGACAGCUGGUAUAGUAUACUGGUAACUGGAUUAAACACAGGUUGCUGCUUCUUUGUCCCCUGUUGGAAGAUUCAAAAUAAUUGAUUGCAUACAGUAAGAAGCCAGGUUAAUGCCUCAGGACAAAGUGGAUGUUAAGCAGGGUAGAGUGCAGUCUUAGAGUUGCUGUGGAGGGGAGGAUGCUUGAAUUCCUACCUCAGAGGGAGUUAGAUUCCUGUAAUUUUGCUAAUAAAGGCUGCCAUCCUCAGAGGGUGGUAGAUGUGCUGGAGAUGAUUUGUGCCGUUUAUAUUUGGAGAGCCAUGACAACUGAACUAUCUUCAUCUUGCUUGCAGGCAGGGUAAGACUGAACUGUACUGUCCUCUGACUGUGAGGGUUAUUCUGCUAGAUGCUAAAAUGGAUUAGCACAGCACGUGCUGAACUGUCCUUCCUUUCCUCCGUCCUGCCCCAGACUGAGUUAGCCAUUGACAUGCUUUCAGCUCCACGUGCAUUGCUAGGACAGAACAGGGUCAAGGUUCCCACCCAGAUUUUAAUUACCAGGAGUGUAAAUGUGCAGGGAGUAGCACUCACCUCCCCUAACUGCUGUAAGAGAUGAGGAAAUGAGGUCUAAGUGUGUUGCUCCAGCUCACCCGUCAAUAGGAAUUGCUAAAGACAAUGUGAAACCAGAACGUGAGCAGCACGAGCUAGCAGGAACCCUUAAUGCCCUGUACUCCCCUUCCCUUUAUCACUGAGAAUAAAGCUUUACAGCGUGCAGUGGGAAAGAGUCAGAGAGCUUUAAUAAUUACUCAAGAAAUAGGAUAAAACCAUUCCGAUCUCAUUGCUUGUUACUUUCACUCCUGAAGAUGAAACAUGGCCUGUGGGAGCGCCGAGUACUCUUCCUAGUGCAAUUCUUUGCUGCUGGCAGGGAGGGUUUCAAAGGAGCUUGUCCACAUCCAGCCCUAAAGCCAGGCUUCUCAAAGAGAUUAUGUACAAAGCGAGAGAAUCCAGCCUGUGGCCUUUCUCUUUUGAGACAAAGGUAACGUAUGUACGGUCAUUUUUUAAAAAAAACUGUUAGCACAUUACAGUUAAAAUCUGUACAAAUUACUGCUUGUGAAAAUAAGCUGCUCAGUUCUUUCUGAAUGGUAAAUUCAAAGCAACAGAAGCAGCUGUGGUUCCCCCUUCCUGAAAGCUGUGAUAAAGGAGACAUCCCACAACAGUCUGUGGUAACGUUAACGGCUGGUUGCAUACA